CGACAACCCCAACCAUGAAGA
rnacentral:miRNA from 1 species